rnacentral:lncRNA from 1 species
ACGAAGCUUCGGCGCAGUCCGCUGGGCGGGUUGGCGGGUUGAGGCGCGGGCUCGGGAUCCAGCGCUGUCAGGGCGCAUCUCCAAACUUUGACCAGCUUUAAUUUACCCUGAGCAGCGAACCACGCCGCAAGUCGGCCUCUUCUUGCAGAGAGAAAUGGAAAUGCCCAGAACAAAAGAGCUCUUAUCGCCCCAAAGGCUGGAUUUACUUAUCCUGAGGCGGGGAAACUGAGGCCCAGACCAGUUGGACCCUCCAGCAGUCGAGACACAGGCAGGACCGAAGAGUCAAAUCAACCUUGCUGAGAAGUGCAUCAAGUUUAAAACCAGACCUUCGAAAGGACGUCCUGCAGUUUUAAACAUGAUGCAAAAUAUAAACAAAUUACUGCACUGGACACCGCCCAGCUGCGGGGAAUCCAAAAGUCAACGGCAGGGAACAAGACAUCACCGCCGGAUGCUGUGUUUCACCAAGUCAGAGAAGCAAGGGACAGCUCGCUCCGUAGGGAGACCGAGCGGUGGGGUCACGGCCAAACCCAGGGCUGGAGAUGGGCCUGGGGCGGGGGGUGUUUCCUGUUGCUGCUGUAAUGGUCUUCAUGAACGAAGUGGCUUAAAACAACACAAGUUUAAUUUUUGUUGUUUUAUUUGAAAACAGAUUUAUUGAGAUAUGAUUAACCCAGCAUACGGUUCACCCAUUGAAGGUAUACAAUUCAGAGGUUUUUCGUGUAUUCACAGAUAUGGAUAAUCAUCACCAUAGCCAAAGAUAAAACAUUUUUCCUUGCUUUGGAAAGAAAACCCUGUACCCUUUAGCUCUCACUCCCUUAUAUCCCGACCCCCUGGUCCUGGGCAUCCCCAAGUCUACUUUCUAUCUGGGGCUGGGAACAAGGGAGUGCCUCCCUCUAAGUGACACCCUCUGUUUUGGAGCUGAGUGCUCGGUGGGGCCGGGGGUAGGCAGUAGCCUCAGGUCCCCUAGGCUGGCCUCUCCUGGCACGGAACUCUGCCUUAGGAGCCUGGCAAGGCAUUUGGGCCCCGAUGUGCUCAGUGCACCAUCCCCUGGUGGAGCCCCCAUACCGGGCACGGAACGAGGCCCCAGCUCCCAUCUGCAAGUCCCCAGAACUUGGCCUUGGCAACGGGAACCUGGGGCAGGGUGAGAAAUGCCAACAUCCUACCCUUCCUGAGAAGAGAGGCCUCCGUCCGGGAGCUGGGGGAGAGGGAGCCCCGUGUUCUUGGCUGCAUCAUUCUGGAGUGGCGUUUCCACCCUGCUGACUGGAGGUCCAAAGUCCAAAGUCAAUCUCACUGAUCUAAGUCAAGGUGUCAGUUGGACUGGCUCUUCUUGGAGCCUCUUGGGAGAAUCUAUUUUCUUGCCUUUCCAGAGACCACCUCUAUCCUUAGGCUUCUGGGCCCUUUCUCUGACUUCUAAGCCAGCAGGGUAGUGUCUUCUCUGACCUCUUGCUUCUCUUAUAAAGACCCUUAUGAUGACAUCAGGUCCACCUGGAUAAUCCUGGAUAAUCCCCCUUCUCAAGACCAGGAAGUUUCCUUUUGCCACACAAGGCACCACAUUCCCAGGUUCUGAGGUUAGGACAUGGCCAUUGGGGUGGGGGUGGGGGCACUGUUCUGUCUAUUGCAGGAUGAGGAGAGAAGAGAGACAAUGGUGGCCUCCAGCUCCAAGACUGGCACUUUCACCCCCAGCCCAGCUUGGCUCCUUCACCCAGCCGGGAGAUGCCUGCCGCCUCCAAUACGGUGGGACCACUGCCUUUCCCAAACACUGCUCACCACCGUGCUGGGUUCCAUCCUUACCUGGACUGUUGGCAGAGACCAGCCUUGGUCUUCUCGAGUCUAGGUGACAGUGACUACUGUGCACUGAACACCUACUGUGCACCAGGCUUGGUUUGAAUCCGUAUGACUACUCUUUGAGGAGAGAGUGUUAUACUCAUUUUAGAGAUGAAGAGACUAAGGCUGGCGAGUGCAACUCACCCAACACCACUCAAAUGGGGGAAUGUGGAGUUACAUGUGUGGAGAUUUUAAAAUCAAUUUUAUUUUAUUUCUGCCUUUAUUAUGCCCGCUUCCAUUGUUUUUAUUAGUAUUUGUCCACAAAGUCUUUGAUAUUCCUCCUUCAAAAGGGGAACCUCAUUCUCCUCCCCUUAGCGUGGCUGUACUUGUUUGCUGGCUUCUUGAGAAUAUAAUGUCUAUGACAUCUGAGACUAGGACAGCAAAGGAACUGUGGCCUCUUCCUUGCUUUCUCGUAGGCACUUAGCUCAGGGGAAGCCAGGUGCAUGGUGUAAGGACAUUUAGGCAGCCCUACUGAGAGCUGAGUGAAGCAUUCUGGAAGAGCCAGCCCCAGUCAAGCACUCAAAUGAUGGCAGCCCAGCCACCCUCUUAACCCAUGAGAGACGCCGGUUGGAGCCAGGACCAUCCAGUUAAGCUGCUCUGGAAUUCCUUUUUCUUUUUAAAUCUUUUUUCCCCUUUUUUCUUUUUAUGCCACACCUGCAGCAUAUGGACGUUCUCAGGCUAGGGGUCAAAUAGGAGCUGCAGCUGCCGGCCUGUGCCACCAGCCACAGCCACAGCCAUGCCAGAUCUGAGCAGCAUCUGUGACCUACACUGCAGCUUGCAGCAAUGCCAGAUUCUUAACCCACUGAGCGAGGCCGGGGAUGGAACCCGCGUCCUCAGGGACACUAUGUCGGGUUCUUAACCUGCUGAGCCACACCAGUAACUCCUUCUCCCUCCCUUAUGAUCUCUCCAGGGCUGGUUUCUUCUAGAGCCUUCAGGCCAUGGCAGGGGUUCUUUCAAGAAGGGUAAUGAGUGGGCAGCUAGAGGACCAGACCUUUAGAGAACUUUGUGUAGGAAAAGCUUCCUCCACUUUGAAGGCAUUGCAGAGCCACACAGGCAAAGCGCAGGCAAGAGAAUAACAGAUACCCACAUUUGGUUACCUAUACACAAUUUCAGGACACUCGAGUUAAUUUGAGCCAUUCUCCUAAGACAUAAAAUUACUGAGAUCUACUGUUGUGUUUCUCGCAUGAUCUUAGUUCCCAAACCCAACAUACUCUAAACCCCUCUCCUUCCCAAUCUCCCCUACCCCCCAAAUCCAAAUCAGAUAUCAGGUAUUUAUAUACUGACAGGUUUAUUUUUUCCUUAAAGCUUGAACAAAUACAUCUUUCCACACAGUUGGUAGAAUUGGUAGAGAAGUAAGCCCUUACUGCUUUACAUAAAACUUUCUGGCCAAAAUCCAAAGUCCAUCCACUUUUUUGAUACAUGUGUGUUUUCCAUGUUUUCCAGUCCUCACAACCCAUCGAGACCUGUCUGAGCGGAGGGAGAGCUAACUUUGAGAGCAGGAAGGGACAAUAACACGUGCCUUUUGCAAGUAUUAAAGACAAGCAGCUGUAGGAUUCUGAGAAUUCUCAGUAAAUAGUUCAUAGGAUUCUGAGAAUUCUCAAUAAAUAGUUCAUAGUAUACA